AACGAACGCUGGCGGCGUGGCUAAGGCAUGCAAGUCGAACGGAUCUAUCCAACGGGUAACUGAAGGGUAGAUUAGUGGCGAACGGGUGAGGAAUACAUGGACAACGUACCCUGGACACGGGGAUAGCGGCGGGCCGCAAGGCUCUUUAGCGAAAGUGCCGGUAAUACCCGAUGAUCCCGCAUGGUCGCAUGAUCGUGUGGGCAAAGCUCCGACGGUCUGGGAUCGGCAUGCCCUAUCAGCUAGUUGGUGAGGUAACGGCUCACCAAGGCGGCGACGGGUACCGGCGUGAGAGCGUGACCCGGCACAUCGGAACUGAGAUACGGUCCGGACACCGUACGGGUGGCUGCAGCAACGAAUAUUCCGCAAUGGACGAAAGUCUGACGGAGCGACGCCGCGUGC
rnacentral:rRNA from 1 species